ensembl:lncRNA
GAUCAAAUCGAGCACAGAACCAAGUCAGUGGCAAUAUGUUGCCUCAGAAAAUAACCCGGCUGACCAUGCCUCUCGCGGACUCAUGGCAAAGGAGCUUGUAGAGUCUAACUGGUUCACGGGACCUAGUUUCUUGUGGCAAAAGGAGCUCCCUAACAAAGAAAAGAUUAAGGUGCAAGACCUCAAUGAGGACGACCCAGAAAUUAAAAGGGCACAAGUUCACACAACGAAAGCAAAUGAGGAAAGGUCCCAUCAGAUCGACUUCACAAGUUUUCUGAUUGGAAAAGAGCCGUAAGAGCCAUAGCAAGACUUAAGCGUUUUGCAAAAGAGGUGAAAGGUCUUAAAACAAGAUCCAAUGAAGCUACGACACUUGACGAAAGAAUGGAUACUGAACAAUUCAUAAUCCAUGCAGUUCAAGAAGAGGCGUUCAGUGAUGAAAUCAAGGCUCUUAAACAAAAGAAAGAGGUACAAAAGAGCAAGUCAAACGAGCUGCACAAGUUGAACCCUUUCAUGGAUAGCCAAGAUAUCCUGAGGGUGGGAAGUAGAUUGACACAAGCAACACUCCACCCUCAUGUCAAACACCCAGCUAUCCUCCCCAAAGGACAUCAUGUAUCUCGAUUGUUGAUAAAGCACUAUCAUGAGAAGGUGAAGCAUCAGGGUCGUGGAAUGACCAUCAAUGAACUACGUUCAAGUGGGAUUUGGAUCAUAGGGUGUAAUAGUGAAGUGUCAUCACUCAUUUUCAAGUGCAUCAAAUGCAGAAAGCUCAGAAGGUGUAAUCAAGAACAAAAAAUGGCCGAUCUUCCACCAGAGAGGAUAGAAGCUACCCCUCCAUUUACCUAUAGUGGUAUGGACUGCUUCGGACCAUUUUAUGUUAAAGAUGGAAGGAAAGAACUGAAGAGAUAUAGGCUUCUAUUCUCCUGCAUGUGUUCACGUGCCAUCCACAUUGAGGUAUUGGAUGACCUUUCCACUGAUGCCUUCUUAAGUGCGUUGCGCUGUUUUAUUGCCAUAAGAGGCAAUGUAAGUCAUCUACAAAGUGAUCAAGGCACAAACUUUGUGGGAGCACGCAAUGAAUUUCAAGUAUUAAUGAAAGGAAUGGAGCAAGAACGUGUGAAAGAGCUAGGAUGCAACUUUGUCAUGAACCCACCUGCUUCCAGUCACAUGGGCGGCGUCUGGGAGAGGCAGAUACGGACCGUGAGAAGUGUCCUCACAUCCAUCCUAGACCAGUCUGCUGGAAGAUUAGACAGUUCUUCAUUAAGAACAUUCCUGUACGAAGUGAUGGCUAUAGUGAAUAGUCGACCAUUGACCACGGAACAUCUCAAUGAUCCAUUAGGACCUGAACCCCUAACUCCAAACCACAUAUUGACAAUGAAAUCUUCAAUAAUCGCACCACCACCUGGUGAAUUUGUAAGGGAAGAUCUCUACCUUCAGAAGCGAUGGAAGAUAGUACAGUUCUUGUCCAAUGAAUUCUGGACCAGGUGGAGAAAGGAGUAUUUGCUGAGUCUACAGCAGAGGAGCAAAUGGAACAAGGACAGGAGAAAUGCUAAAGUGAAUGACAUUGUCCUGUUGCAAGAUGAUGGCACGCCAAGAAAUCAAUGGAAGCUGGCGAAAGUAGUUGAAGUCUUCCAAGGAGCUGACGGAAGAGUCAGAAAACUCAAACUGUUACUUAGUGACACAACACUAGACUGUAAAGGCACAUGCUCAAAUAAGCCAGUUUACUUAGAAAGGUCAAUACACAAAACAGUACUUUUGCUUGAAUCUGAAUAAGUAGAUUAGCUCUUCAAUGCCAUUGUUUUGUUUAUAUUUGAAGGUAUAUUUGUGUAUUUACAUCAAUGUUUUAUAAGGUUCUGUUAACAAUGUAAUUUAUUUAUUGUAAAUCACACCGUGUG